CGAAAGCAUAAGUUGCCAGAAUAACAAGAAGAAAAAGUCCAUGAGAAGGGCUUAACCCAGUUCCUGGCAUAUGGCGAGGCAUUCGUGUAUGACAGUCGCUGAAAUGAAGGUGAUGGCGAAGACUGAUUCAUUUACUGGGGUAUUUUGGCGGCUCAUCUAGCACCUGGCACAGUGCAGUGCUCAAUACAUAUUUGAUGAAUGAAUGAAUGAAAUAUAUGUACUGGCAUAGAAGAAUGUCUAAGAUAUAUAGGUGGGAAAAAUAAGCCUCAGUACAGUUUAUCUACCCAGUCACAUUUGUAGAAAAUACAUUAAAAUUUCUGUUAUAAGGUGAAGACAUAAAUUAUAUAUGGGAGUUACCUCUGAGGAAUGGGCUUAGGAGCCAGCUGAGAAGAGGGAGAGUUCAUUUUUCACUUUAUUUCCUUCUGCACCACUUAAUGUUAUAACAAUGACAGUGCAUUACUUGGAAAAUUAAAAUAAAAAAUCUACUAGGUUCAAAGGAUCACAGGAUGAAUGCUUUCCCAGGAAGUUAUGUUGGCCAUCUUAGGAUUUUCUAUUUUUACUUCAGUCUUCAGUGAAAUGAGAAAUCGCCAUGAGCACCACAGAAGGGACAUGGUAGAAGAGUCAGUACCCCAGAAAGGACAAAUGUCGAUACUAACGGUAAUAACUGCACCACCUUAUGAAAGUGAGUUCCAGCCUCUGAAUCUCCAUUUACUCUUCUACAAGUGAAGACAAUAAUACCUAUCGAAUAGGUAGGUGUGUUAACAUGUAAAAGUUAUAGUGUAAGAUACCUCUAUACAUUCUAUUUGAACAAUUUAAUAUGCAGUGUCUAAACACUGAUAUGCACCUGCCAUUUUCUUGCAAAAGUUCUUAUUGGAUGUUUGUGCUGUUAUCACCUCCUCAGGAGGGGCUGCACCUGCCUCUGCUUGUUUCAGGUCACUAUAAGAAUGUGACAGGACCUGAAAACAGAAGCCGUGAGUUCAAAUCUUGGCUUUGAGUUACAUAGCCAAGAGACUCCCUGAAGUGAGGCAUAAGGCUCCAGAUAAGUGGUGUCUGAUGUUCGUUUUAAUCAGCUUCAUGUUGGUAAUUUAGUUCCAUCUAGAAGAGCAGAGUGAGAGAAAUGAUGCAGGAAUGAGGGUCCAAGCAGGAAAGGGAUAUCAUCCGUGGUGAAUUCUGGAGGGUAUAGCUGAAGAGUAUUAAAUGGAGGAACCUCUUGCAAAGGUGUUGAGUAGGGACAAGAGUGUAAAUAAGGAAGGUGGAGGUCCCCAGAAUCCAGCAGAGGGAAGCUGUAUUAUUUCUAGGGAAGAAGGGACAAGGGGAGACAGAGGAUUCUUGAGGGUGCUGUGAGAAGGGAGUCAUGAGGAAGGGGAUUUCUGGUGGGAUGUGGGAUGAUGGAGAGGUGUAGCCAUGCCCGGGAAGGCUGCAGGGUCAGGAUGGGCAGGGUGAGCAGAGGAAAUGCACCUGCCCCUCUUUCCUCCCACCUACUGAUGUCCUUCCAGAGUCUCCCAUUGGCUGAAGGCUGGAAAGAGGAGGGAUGUUGAUGUCGUCCUGGGGCACAGAGGAGAACUGGGAAUGGUUCUGGAGAAGGGAAGAGGUGGCAGAUGGAGAAUCGCUGGAACAGGAGGCUUCUUGUCUCCACCCGCCUCCUUCUCCCUAAAUUCCCCAGCUGGCCAGUCUUUCUCAAUUCCUUCCCUCCUCCCUUUCUUCUUUCUUUCCUUUUUGACUUCUC
rnacentral:lncRNA from 1 species